GCAGGGAAUCUUGCACAAUGGGCGAAAGCCUGAUGCAGCGACACCGCGUGAGGGAAGAAGGCCUUCGGGUUGUAAACCUCUUUUAUCAGGGAAGAGUAAGGACUGUACCUGACGAAUAAGGCCCGGCUAACUACGUGCCAGCAGCCGCGGUAAUACGUAGGGGCCGAACGUUGUCCGGAUUUACUGGGCGUAAAGAGCGCGUAGGCGGUUUGUUAAGUCUCAUGUGAAAUCUCCCGGCUCAACUGGGAGGGGUCAUGGGAUACUGGCAGGCUUGAGGGUAGCAGAGGAAAGCGGAAUUCCCGGAGUAGUGGUGAAAUGCGUAGAUACCGGGAGGAACACCAGAGGCGAAGGCGGCUUUCUGGGCUAUUCCUGACGCUGAGGCGCGAAAGCGUGGGUAGCAAACCGG
rnacentral:rRNA from 1 species